GACGAACGUUGGCGGCGUGCUUAACACAUGCAAGUCGAACGGAAAGGCCCUGCUUUUGUGGGGUGCUCGAGUGGCGAACGGGUGAGUAACACGUGAGUAACCUGCCCUUGACUUUGGGAUAACUUCAGGAAACUGGGGCUAAUACCGGAUAGGAGCUCCUGCUGCAUGGUGGGGGUUGGAAAGUUUCGGCGGUUGGGGAUGGACUCGCGGCUUAUCAGCUUGUUGGUGGGGUAGUGGCUUACCAAGGCUUUGACGGGUAGCCGGCCUGAGAGGGUGACCGGCCACAUUGGGACUGAGAUACGGCCCAGACUCCUACGGGAGGCAGCAGUGGGGAAUAUUGCACAAUGGGCGGAAGCCUGAUGCAGCAACGCCGCGUGCGGGAUGACGGCCUUCGGGUUGUAAACCGCUUUCGCCUGUGACGAAGCGUGAGUGACGGUAAUGGGUAAAGAAGCACCGGCUAACUACGUGCCAGCAGCCGCGGUGAUACGUAGGGUGCGAGCGUUGUCCGGAUUUAUUGGGCGUAAAGGGCUCGUAGGUGGUUGAUCGCGUCGGAAGUGUAAUCUUGGGGCUUAACCCUGAGCGUGCUUUCGAUACGGGUUGACUUGAGGAAGGUAGGGGAGAAUGGAAUUCCUGGUGGAGCGGUGGAAUGCGCAGAUAUCAGGAGGAACACCAGUGGCGAAGGCGGUUCUCUGGGCCUUUCCUGACGCUGAGGAGCGAAAGCGUGGGGAGCGAACAGGCUUAGAUACCCUGGUAGUCCACGCUGUAAACGGUGGGUACUAGGUGUGGGGUCCAUUCCACGGGUUCCGUGCCGUGGCUAACGCUUUAAGUACCCCGCCUGGGGAGUACGGCCGCAAGGCUAAAACUCAAAGGAAUUGACGGGGCCCCGCACAAGCGGCGGAGCAUGCGGAUUAAUUCGAUGCAACGCGUAGAACCUUACCUGGGUUUGACAUGGAUCGGGAGUGCUCAGAGAUGGGUGUGCCUCUUUUGGGGUCGGUUCACAGGUGGUGCAUGCCUGUCGUCAGCUCGUGUCGUGAGAUGUUGGGUUAAGUCCCGCAACGAGCGCAACCCUUGUUCACUGUUGCCAGCACGUUAUGGUGGGGACUCAGUGGAGACCGCCGGGGUCAACUCGGAGGAAGGUGGGGAUGACGUCAAGUCCUCAUGCCCCUUAUGUCCAGGGCUUCACGCAUGCUACAAUGGCUGGUACAGAGAGUGGCGAGCCUGUGAGGGUGAGCGAAUCUCGGAAAGCCGGUCUCAGUUCGGAUUGGGGUCUGCAACUCGACCUCAUGAAGUCGGAGUCGCUAGUAAUCGCAGAUCAGCAACGCUGCGGUGAAUACGUUCCCGGG
rnacentral:rRNA from 1 species